rnacentral:snRNA from 1 species
UCAUAUGAGGCAAUUAGGCUGUGACAUUUGUCACCCCAUUGAUAGCCAGGUUGAAUUGGCUCAUCAGGCUGACUAGGCGGGUGCCCCCUUCCUCCCUUAUGGCUCCAUGUGUGUCCCUUCCCUCUGGAAGCUGCACACUCAGUGAAAGAGGACAGCCUUGCCGAGUAGAGACAGACCAUUCUUUGGUAUAAAGUAGCUGUGCUUCCAUGGUAGAACCUCCAAACAAGCUCACAAAUAUCCAAUUACAGAUGAGUGGAUAAAGAUGUGGUAUGUAUACACUAUAUAUAUAUAUAUGUAUAUAUAUGUUUGU